rnacentral:rRNA from 1 species
AGGGAAUAUUGGGCAAUGGAGGCAACUCUGACCCAGCCACGCCGCGUGGAGGAUGAAGGUGCUAUGCAUCGUAAACUUCUUUUGUCAAGGGAGAAAGUGCUUGAUUGAUCAGGUUUUGACGGUACUUGGCGAAUAAGCAUCGGCUAACUACGUGCCAGCAGCCGCGGUAAUACGUAGGAUGCAAGCGUUAUCCGGAAUCACUGGGUUUAAAGGGUCUGUAGGCGGUAUUAUAAGUCAGUGGUGAAAUAUCUGGGCUUAACUUGGAGGGUGCCAUUGGUACUGUAGUACUUGAGAUAGAAUGACGUGGGCGGAAUGUGUCAUGUAGCGGUGAAAUGCUUAGAGAUGACACAGAACACCGAUUGCGAAGGCAGCUCACGAAGCCUUAUCUGACGCUGAGGGACGAAAGCGUGGGGAGCAAAC